rnacentral:rRNA from 1 species
UACGUAGGGUGCAAGCGUUGUCCGGAAUUAUUGGGCGUAAAGAGCUCGUAGGCGGUUUGUCGCGUCUGCUGUGAAAACUCGGGGCUUAACCCUGGGCCUGCAGUGGGUACGGGCAGACUAGAGUGCGGAAGGGGCAACUGGAAUUCUUGGUGUAGCGGUGAAAUGCGUAGAUAUCAAGAGGAACACCUGCGGCGAAGGCGGGUUGCUGGGCCGACACUGACGUUGAGGCGCGAAAGCCAGGGGAGCGAACGGG